rnacentral:rRNA from 1 species
GACGAACGCUGGCGGCGUGCUUAACACAUGCAAGUCGUACGGUAAGGCCCUUUCGGGGGUCCACGAGUGGCGGACGGGUGAGUAACACGUGAGUAAACUGCCUACUACUUUUUUAUAACGCUAGGAAACUGGUGCUACUACUGGAUAUGUGCUCCUGCUGCAUGGUGGGGGGUGGUAAGCUCCUGCGGCUGUGGGUGGACUCGCGGCCGAUCAGCGGGUUGGUGGGGUAGUGGCCUACCAACGCGGCGACGGGUAGCCCGCCUGUGAGGGUGACCGGCCACAUUGGGACUGAGGUAAGGCCCAGACGCCUACUGGAGGCAACAGGGGGGAAGAUUGCACAAUGGGCGCAAGCCUGAUGCAGCAACGCCGCGUGCGGGAUGACGGCCUUCGGGUUGUAAACCGCUUUCAGCAGGGACGAAGCUUUUUGUGACGGUACCUGCAGAAGAAGCACCGGCUAACUACGUG